GCUUGCCAUAUGGUGGCAAAAUCUGAUUAGAGAAGCUCAAAAGAUUUGGCAUCAGUGAACCCCAAAUGGUAAUAUAACCGGGGGUCUGGGUCCUUCCGCCGCUGUGGGGCCCGGAGGCCGGGGUGCCCCCCCCCCGCCCGGUUCCUGGACCCCCGGAGCCCUCAGAUCCCCCCCCAUAAGAUCCCGGGGAACUGUCCCUGGGCGCCAUGGAGCGGCAGCGGGAGGUGAAGGCUCUGCUGAAGCAGUGGGAAGCGGCCUUCCUGCAGGAGCGGCGGAGGAAGCCCAGCCAGGCUGACAUCCAGGCGGCUCCGGAGGACACCAGGCGGCUCUACAAGGAAUAUAAGAUGCUCAAGCAGCAGAGAGAGGGGGGGGAUCCCUCCCCUCUCAGCCCCUCCUGCCAAGAGACAGCCCAGGAGACCCCAACCACGGAGCAGGUACCGGAGAAAUGCCCCCCCCCAACCCCCCAACACCUUCACCCUGGGGUUUUUUUUCCCCAAGAGCCUCGAAUCCUCGAGGG
rnacentral:lncRNA from 1 species